rnacentral:rRNA from 1 species
AUUGAACGCUGGCGGCAGGCCUAACACAUGCAAGUCGAGCGGAUGAAGGGAGCUUGCUCCUGGAUUCAGCGGCGGACGGGUGAGUAAUGCCUAGGAAUCUGCCUGGUAGUGGGGGAUAACGUCCGGAAACGGGCGCUAAUACCGCAUACGUCCUGAGGGAGAAAGUGGGGGAUCUUCGGACCUCACGCUAUCAGAUGAGCCUAGGUCGGAUUAGCUAGUUGGUGGGGUAAAGGCCUACCAAGGCGACGAUCCGUAACUGGUCUGAGAGGAUGAUCAGUCAAACGGAACUGGAACACCGUUCAAGACUCCUAGGGGAGGGCGAGGGGGGAAAUUUUGGGAAAUGGGGGAAACCCUGAUCCGGCCGGGCCGGUGGGUUGAAGAAGGGUUUCGGAUUUGAAGGCCUUUUAAUGGGGGGGGAAGUGCAAAAAGUUAAUUCCUGGCUUUUUUGACGUUACCGACAAAAAAAGCACCGCCAAAUUUCGG